rnacentral:tRNA from 2 species
GCGGUCGUGGCGAAGUGGUUAACGCACCGGAUUGUGGCUCCGGCAGGCGUGGGUUCAAAUCCCACCGGUCGCCCCA